rnacentral:rRNA from 1 species
GACGAACGCUGGCGGCUUGCUUAACACAUGCAAGUCGAACGGAAAGGCCCUGCUUUUGUGGGUUGCUCGAGUGGCGAACGGGUGAGUAACACGUGAGUAACUUGCCCUUGACUUUGGGAUAACUUCAGGAAACUGGGGCUAAUACCGGAUAGGAGCUCCUGCUGCAUGGUGGGGGUUCGAAAGUUUCGGCGGUUGGGGAUGGACUCGCGGCUUAUCAGCUUGUUGGUGGGGUAGUGGCUUACCAAGGCUUUGACGGGUAGCCGGCCUGAGAGGGUGACCGGCCACAUUGGGACUGAGAUACGGCCCAGACUCCUACGGGAGGCAGCAGUGGGGAAUAUUGCACAAUGGGCGGAAGCCUGAUGCAGCAACGACGCGUGAGGGAUGACGGCCUUCGGGUUGUAAACCGCUUUCGCCUGUGACGAAGCGUGAGUGACGGUAAUGGGUAAAGAAGCACCGGCUAACUACGUG